GAGAGUUGAAAGCAUAGCUUAUUUAAUUUUUAUACAUUUUUUUCUCAUUUUUUGCAACUUUUUUCUUAUUUUUUUUCGCCCUUUUUCUUAUUUUUUUCUCAUUUUUUUUUUUAAAUUGUCCUUUUGGGAUUUUAUUUUUUUAUUUUCCUUUUGCAUAGGGGGUGGGGGGUGGGCGGGGGGGGGGGGAAGAGAAAAGGAACGAAAACCAGAGCCGGCUUUCGGAUAAUGGUACAUUUAAAAUAAAAAACAAGGAAGAAAAGUGCAUUGGCUAAAAAAAAAACAAAAAACAGUACGCGUAUGACGAAUGCUAGAAUCAAAUAUUGUGAAAAGCACUGGAGAAAAGCAAGCCUGUGUGUGCAUGUGAGUGAAUGGGGAGGCCAUGGUGAGCCCGGCUGAAAUGAGAGAGGGAUGAAUUGCAGAUUGCUGUGUUGGCGGACCGAGAUCUGCGUUGCAGCUGAUUAUUUCGUUCCCUCGGGUACGUCUACGCUGUAUAGCGACACCUCCACACAAACCCCAACCGCCCAACGAACCUUGGGAACUGUAGUUUAGCCGGGCGCCUGGGAACUGUGGGUUGAUGCUCCCUGCUUGCAGAAUGACAGGGCCGGGCUCGAAAGUUCGUUGCACUCAGAGUAGACCCCUUGAAGAACGAAAGGAUGGGCUUGACACCAAGGGUUCCAGAUGCAACUUUCCAACACAUCUACUCUGAGUCGGGUUCUGUGCAACCCACCGUUCCCAGCAGAGAAAGGCCGGCCGCUAAACCAGUUUAAGGCUGCGGUGUAGACAGGACGCCCCUGAGGCCAGAUCCAUUUCCUCUUUGGCCGGGAAACGGUCUCAGUUCACUCUUCCCGGCGUGGACAACACUGCGAAUACGUGUGUUAACUUAGCAAGCAGCAAGCGAGAGAGUAAACUAUUAUUGCGACAUCUGUAAAAUAUAAACGGCAGAAGUGUGUUUGCGCGUCACCGUCAGGGGAAGAAAGCGAACUUCCGGUCAGAUAUACGGAAAAGAAGGGAUCAGGGGAAAUAAAAGAUUGAAGGAAAUGAGAAUCGACGCCAGCUGGAUCCUGGCCCAACUCUGAGAAACAUUCUUGCCUCGGUUAUCCCUCCACCCCACCCCAAUGUUCCCUUCCUCUUCCUCCUCCUCCUCUUCCAGACUACGCAAUGACAACAGGGAACAUGAACACAAAAGGAUGAAACUUCACAAACGGAAAAGUGUGGCUCAAGGUCUUGGGGAUGGCGACUUCCCAGCUGUGCAGUGCUGUCAGAGAAAGCGGUACAGGCCGAUAAAUUGGUCAAGUCUUGGUUUCCUCUUAGUUUCUCACUCCCCCUAUCUUAAAUCCAGUCUGCUUGGUUCGAUUCCGGCAUCUGUUUGCUUUAAAAAAACCCGCAGAAAAAUCCGCUCCCGUUAAUAUACAGUGGUACCUCGGUUUACAAACUUAAUCCGUUCCAGAAGUCCGUUCUUAAACCGAAACCGUUCUUAAACUGAGGAGCAGUUUCCCUAAUGAGGCCUCCCGCCGCCGGUGCCCUUCCACUGUUCGGAUUCCGUUCUUAGACCAAGGUAAAGUUCUCAAACCAAGACACUAUUUCUGGUUUUGCGGAGUCUGUAAACCAAAUCGUUCUUAAACCGGACUGCUCUUAAACCAAGGUACCCCUGUAGUUGCUUUGUAGGUAAUUUUGCCUCAACCAUGCAUUUUCCCCCUAACAGACAAUUGAUUGGAAUAUAGUGCAUUAUAUCUACAGGAUUUCCCUGGGAUUCCAAUGACGGAAUUAGUAGCUCAACAACUUGAAAUACAGCAACGUUUGCAGGGCGGCGUUUGCAGAACCGCACUGCAAAGUUUGCGGAUGCUGGGAUUUCGAAGGACCCCAGGAUGUUGGGCUGAUCGCAUUGAAAAGCGAACCAAAUUAAUUCCCUUCCCUGUCCCUUCGACGGCUGCAAAUCACAUCCGUGUCAAAUCGUUGUUUUAUUUGUAGUCAAGGACAGUUAAUAACUCUUUCAUUUGUAUAGGUGCGAUUUCUUAGGAUGCGUUUUCUGUAGUCAGCCAUCUAGCUAUAGCUGGAUCUGACUGCAUUUGAUUCCUUUGCUUGUGGAAAGUUUCUGCAAGUUUUCCUGAAUCAGACUGAACUCGUAAUAGGGGCGAGUGGGCGUGCCAACCAACCUAGCCCCGCCCACCUGGCUCCUCCCCUCAACAAGCCCCGCCCACUUGAUCUACCCCUCGGCCAAUCCUGACAGCACUGCAUCAGCCAGGAGGGAAGUAGAAUGAGGGGGGCCAAAUCUCUCCUUCCAGUAUUGAAUUUGGGGCCCUUUCAUACCAGUGUGUGUGGGGAUAAUAAUAUAGCAACGCCACAGAUUUAAAAGAGCAAAAAUUACCCGGGGUAAAUAGGUGAUUAGGGCUCAAGGAAACACAAUCCAGCAGUAAAUUUCAUAGGCACAGCAUAAAUUAUAUUUUUGGUAUUCCAGAAUGCUGCUGGCUUUUGUUUCCUUGGCGCGAGUAUACAGUUAUUGUCCUUGCCGUAUUAUUGUCCGGCGACAGGUUAUGGGACCAGAAAAUCACAGCGCACGCCACAACCUUGUAGCUUCAAGACAGGACAGGGAAGCCUGUGUGUGUUAGCAGAAAGGGCGAUGCCAGGAAAAGCAAACAAACCACGACUGAUCCCAAUAAAAACCUUAUUUCCCAAGGCAGCCCCCACAAAUAACAACUUCCCCCAAACGCUCAGGGUUCGGGGAAACGGAUGCAGCGAUCGACAGAGCGGUUAAGCAGCCGCUCCUCCGACUGGCGUCGGGGGGCGAAUGUCACGCCCACGCUUAAUCCGGUUUCAAUCCGGAUUUCGACCGCGAUGGCGGCACCUCCCUCCCGCUCCCACGUCUUUUGUUCAGCGUCCUCAGCUAAACCGGAUUCAGAGCGGUUCCGUCAGAGACGGAAAAGGAGGGUUUCCACGCGCAGGCUGAAUCAGUUCGGAAGCGGCUCGUUUUGCAAGAAAGCUGGGAGAAAUCUGGGGAUAAGGCUCUUCUAGGUCUCUUCUGAAAUAAACUGGGGGGGGGGGCCAGAAGCUGGGGGUUGUUGCUGGAACAUAGUCUCAUCCUACAAGCCGUCGUCAAACGGCAGCUUCCAUCAGCACGCCAAUAUUUUUCCGGGGAACGCUUACAGUGUCUCCCCCUGCUACAACACCAUCUCAGACCUUUUGAGGACAACGGAAAACCCUAAAUCGACUCAAAACCCACCGCUUCUUAAUUUUCCCUCGGGGCAACCCCUCUCCCCCACCAUCUUGUGGGGGGGAGCGCCCCCACCUCAAAUCCACAAAUGUGCAAGUUAAAAGAAGCUGGUGUUUGUGUGUGUGUGUUUUCCUUUCCAAAACAAAAAAGAGAGAAGCAGCAAUUUAAUAAAAUUAUAUUGCAAAAGAAGUUUUCUUUUUCUUUUUAAAAAAGAUAUAGAUAUAUAUACACAGUGCUCCCCACCCCGGCCAAAUUGCAAGUUAUCCUGGUUUUCAAGGAAGGAUUGUCAGUUUAGACACUCAUGCCCUUUGACCCUCCGGCCAGACCCAUUUAAAAGAAAGAAAAGGGGGAGAAGGGGGAAAGACCUAUCGCUUUAACGAAAUCGCCUUGUCGGGGGCCGGGAAGCGAUUUUGGGUGGGAGGGUGGAGACACCCAGGGAGACGCGUCGGACGCGAGUCGCCGCGUCACCCAGGCGCCAAGAACGCCCCCUUUCCGGCAUAGCACCAUAAAGGUAAAUACAAUAUUCUGUACAUGAUUUCUCUGCCCCCGUGGGGCCCUUUCAAACAACUGCCCCCAAAGUAUAAAAAAUAUGUAGUGCAUGAGGAAGGCAGGAGGGAGCCCCCGAAAGUGUGCCUUGCAUAGAAGUGGGAGUAGACUUCCUCGCACAGAGUCCACAGUGCGAAUGGCGCUACGGGGAAGUUCUCGUCGCCGACGGUCGGGGGCGAAGGGAGCUUGGCGUGUCCCUGGAGGGUCAGGGCGAGGGGACCUCUUGUCCCUGCUCUAAGGAACAUUUCCCGGCUGCACGCAAGAGAUGGAGGAAUGCCUCUAUUCCGAAGAGGCAUUCUCUCCCGGGAAAGGGGAGUGCUUCUUCAGAACUGGGCCUUCCUGUGAUGGCCUGGGAUUUGGGCUCGGAGGCUGAACCUGAGGAAUCCCAGCCUGCACAGGAUUCCCCGCCUCCAGAACCAGCUGGGGCCUGAGCCUGAAGGGUCCUCACCUGUGCUGGAUCCUCAGCUGAGUCUGCUCUGGCUCCUGAGGUGAUGGAGGACCCAUUGCCUGCAGGUGCUCCACUCUCAGCCCCGUCAGAGGAAGCUGAGGUUGCCGCUGGGUCCGGUAACCCUCCAGCCUCUCCUGAGCUGCAGAGGCUCAGGGCAGAGAGGCGGAGGGAACUAAGUUCCCACAGGAGGAGGGCUCGCCUCCAGGCCAGGAGAGGCGAGUCACCUGGGGACCGGGGGCGCCCUAUGCCUCAGGGCAGAUAAAAGCCAGCCAGCCCCAAGUUGCAGCAGCAACAUUGUCGCUAGCCAGUUCCUGCCUGCACCCUGUCCUGCUGGAUCUUCUGACCACGCCCAACUCCCUGCCUUGGACCCAGCUUCAGCUUUGACGGACGGCCUCAAUACUGCUCCCUCGACCUCGGACUGGACUCAGACCAUGCCCCGCGGAAACCCACGGGACCAGCACACUUCCUUUUGUGGCCGGACUCUCACAGCCUCAACCUCCCUAGCCAGACGGCAUGGAGGGUGCAAUUCAAUUCAGGAGCUGUCGGAAGGCCCACACACAUCUUAUGGGGGAGCAGGACGGGAUGCCCCCCAAAGCACCCCGGGGUUUCCUUCUCUUCAACCCGCAGCCUCCCUCCUUCCUCGCCUCCCUGAUUGUCGGCAGAGCUGCUCCUCCGACGGGAGCUCGCCUGGGGAGAGUCGGAAAUUGCCUCCGGAGACGCCGCUCGUCCUACAAAGAGACACCUCUCUCCGCACCCCCUAAUUUAGUUCCCAAUUUCGUUUACGGUUCCCGCGGCUUCGCCCUUCCUCCUCCUCCUUUUUGAGAAAAGUUUUCUGCCUUGGAACAAUUGCACAUCCGUCCUCCUCUCUUAAGACAGCCUCUACCCACACGGGGGUGCCAGAAAUAAAUCAGUAAGUGCAGCAGCUGCGGCGGGGUUGCAUAGGUGUGAUUGCUGCAAGGUUCUUGAUCUGUGGUUUUUAUUUGUGUCCGCCGAAAUGCACCCAAACGCCUCAUUAUUAUUAUUAAAAGGCGGGGAGAAUCUGAGCGCAAACCACCUCAAUUUCCCCCUCUUCCGCCAAUUCAGGAGGUGGGGCUAUUCAGGAUUAGAGGCCCUGUUUUCUGGGUUUCAGCUCAGGGGCACAGUGCCUGCAGAAGAUUCCGGGUUCGAUUCCCGACGGCAGCUCCCAGCAGGGCUGGGAAAAGCUUUCCAAAAUACUGGACAGCUGCUGCAAGCCAGUGUAGGCUGCCCAGGGGGCCCAACUCAGUAUAAAGCAGCUUUCUACUUAAACCAACCCUUCACCCAGGACAAUGAGGACUAGAAUAUUGCGAUGUUUUUAGGAGAAGCCAAUAGCUUUGCAUGCAAAAGGUUGCAGGUUCAAUCCCCGGCAAUCUCCAGCUGUAUUUACAUUUUGCCUAUGAAUUCUUUUGGGGGCAGCGGCCAAGCAGGAAACACGGAGGGAAAGGUUAAAGGCCACGGCCUGCCAGGAAAGGGUCAAAUCUUCACCUCUGCGAAGCUUCCGCGUUUACGCCCGAGCCUCUGCUCUGCGGAGAAACUCCCAUUCGCAGCCUGUAGAUUUGUGGCAAAGGAUGGAAGGACUCCAUUGCCCCCAACUUCCCAACAGUCCCCCCCCAGGCAGUAUGGCCUAAUGGUCAGGGCAGACGGGAGUUGCAGUUCAGAGACACAAAGUUGUCCUUUCUGGGGCUGUGAGUGUGAAUCGUUUAGAUCAGUGGGAGGUUGGGGGGCAGAACGUUCCAUCUCCAGCGGCGCCGCCUUGGGAGACGAAGUCAAAGCACACUGCCCCACAGAUCUGGGAUGGGUGCCUGGCCUGUGGUCAGUAAAUAAGGUGCUUUCGUUUAUUUUUUUUUAGAUCCCUCUUCCAUCAGUUGCUGGUCAAUAAACCAGCAGACCUAAAUUAAGUGCUUAAUAAUAAUAAUAAGUAGGUGAACUUCUUUUUAGCAUUUUGGGGUGGGUGUAGAUGGAUCCAGCAGAAUUACAGAAUCAGAGCUAGAAUCCGGGGUGCCAACUUGAAUAAAAUAUUGGGGAAGGGCAAGAAAGUAUAACCGAUCGCACAACUGAUCGCAAGAUGGAACAUUUGGAGGGUGAUGCCCAUCACCUUUUGGGGAGAGGCUGUCCCCUCAGUUUAUUGGUGACCCCAAAGGGACCUCGGCCCCUAGAAGUUGGCUGCUACAGUUAGAAGGGGCCUCUGCAAUGCCAGAAUCUCAACACGCGGUCCCCCAUCCAGUUUGAAACCACACCGGACCCUGCUUAGCUUUGCAAACGUGCUGGCUGCCUAUCAUGCCUGCAGAAUACAUUCUUAACCUGAAAAUGCAUUGACGUUGUCAACGUGGCUAAUAAAUUGUCUUACCUUGACAACGUCAGGCUUUUUAAAACAGCGUUUCCACCCUACAUCUAUUGCUCCCUGGCGAGGAAGGAUCUGCCAACUUCCUUUCCCUCUCUUUCAAAUUUUCCCCCAGUCUUAGAUUCAGUUCUCCGCAAUCCGUAGCAAAUCACCAAAAAAAAAAAAAAAAAGCCCUCGCGAAAAUUCACCGGCAUUUUUCCACGCAAAUUUCUCCCAACGAACACAUUUUUCCACAUGCGGUUUUUGACUGUCGUGCACAUUUUCGCGAGCCGUUCCCCUCCUUGUUUAAUGCAUUAUUUUUUUUUUGCAAAUGUUCUUUGGCCGGAAAACCACCUUGCAAAAUUCAGAUCGAUGCAAAUUUCAAAAAGCGGGUGUGUUUCGGUUUUCCUUUGGGGAGGGCGAAUGUGAUAGCUCUGCAGUUAAAUGUGAACUGAACCAAUUUUUUUAUCCAUCCCUUGGAUUCAACAGCAUGCCAAUUUUCAUGGGUGUAAAUAGGUAUCUACUGCAGAGAGCUGAAUUAGUCCAGGCAGGACUAAUUUGACCCACAGUUCCUGGACUGUAUUCCUUCCAGAAUUUUUUAAUUUCUUGACGUCUCCAAACAAGGAAGGGCGCUCUUAGCUUUUGCAGCCUGAGUAGGUAGUAUUCUGGGAUGUCGGGAAAGACCUCACCGCUCAGAGCUUUCCCGGAAGCCUGCUGCCAUGGAAAUUUCCUCCCCCCCCCCUUUUUAUAAAGCGUUCAAACCGCAGUCACCAUCCCACCUGCUCAACUGAACGAAAGCAAGCGAAAUUGCAGAAAGCCGGCGAGUUAAAAAAGGACGAACUUUUCUCGCGCCCGACGCCCCACGCUCAUAAAGUUCCUUUUUUAAGAAAUGUCCCAUUUUGUGGGGACGAUGGUGGGGUGGGCGAUAUAGGAUGGAAGGAUUCUGGCGUCGGGGAAAAACAGAGUUGGAACCCCAGAGAAGACCCAUCGGAUUUAAUGGGCGCAAAUCAGCCACAACCACACAUCUCCAUAGGUCUGCUGGGAUGGUGAUUCCCCUUUAGGUUCAAAUGUGCCUAAGGCACAAUUCUGCCACUGUUCAUUAAUUCCCCCCGCUGCACCCCCCCGAAAACCCUGCCUUUCCCCCAGGCACCGACAAGAGGUAGCAACAGAUAUGGCUAUCUCUUCUUCCCUACUUUUGAUAUCAACUUUUCAAAACAAAACCCACCUUAAAAAACAUGCCCUCUGCUGUUAAGUGUCAGGGUGCUCAAAGCAGUCUUCAGAGGCGUCUACUGUUCUCUCUCUGCAUGAGUCACUGAACCAGACACGGCUCAUCCUUAGGAAAGAAUUCAAUUCUGCCAAGCCUGGGCUCUGGAUGGAUGACAUCGCCUCACUUCCACCAAGGACAGGCCAGUUGAGAGCAGGGCUGGGGCCCGAUCCAGCGCGUCCCUCUUCCGUUCUCACCAGGCCAAAGCAGUAUUGCAGGCACAGACCAACUCCGCCAACAAGGGACUGGAAGACAGCCAAGCCGGCAGAGAAUUGCUCAGAGGGGCGGCGAGCGCCCUCUUUUGCUCUCAAACGCUGGAGGAAUUAGCUGGCCAGCUUGCAACCCUGACCAUGCAAAGACCUUUCUGUUGAAACAAACAACACUCCCCCAAAAAACCUAGAACCUCACGGUAUUUGCCUGCACCUCACUUCAAAACAUCCACACACCUACGUCUGACCCUCCCUCAAUCUACUCCAGAGACCGAAUGCCGAAUGCAAGGGGAAAUAGAAAGUUGGGGCUGGAAUAAGCUCUCCGGGGAUUUCUUGCAAGCGGGGGCGAGAGGACACCCCCCAAAAAACCCCCAAACCAGUCCUUCUCUCCCACACUUGCCAACUUUGACCUAUUAGAAAGAAGUCAUCAAGAUUUGCAGAAUUCAAGCCCAACUCAUCCAACAGGCAAGGCGAUUUAAUUUCAUUGCUGCUGAUAAUUAAGAGAUUUCCUACAGGGGGCGCCGCAUAUUGGGGAAAAAACCCUCCCCAUUUUUUCAUUUGCAUUCGUAACUGGAAGACGUGGAACCGCAGCCAGGGCAGAAAUCGCCUCUGCCGCCCCAUGUUUUGCACUGACCGAUGGGUUGCGCAGGAUUCAAAUUCUCAUUGUCCGUCUCUCGGGGGUGUGUGUGGGGGGGUGAUGUCUACAGUCUUAGAACACCAGCUUCCCCCCCAAAAAACACACCCACCGGGUAUUUUUGAAGGUGUUUUUUUUGCAACGGUGAUGGUGAAGCAGAACCUCCAGUGGCAGGAGCAAGAGACAGGCUGGUCCCGUUUUUGGGAUCCCCGGGGGGACAUUCUGGGGUGAUAAUGUGGCAAAUGCUGUUGACAAGUUUUUUGGGGGGGUUGCUACAGGCCAGCGAUCCCCGAAGCUCGUAGUUCCCUGUUGGAGGGCAGUGAGAUUCUGGAGGAGGGCAAGGGGGCAGUUGAGGGGCACCGAAAAACCAAUACAGUGGACGCUCGGGUUGCGAACAGGAUCUGUGCAGGAUGCACUUUCGCAACCCGCAGCGUCGCGUCUGCGUGGGUUGCGAUUCGGCGCUUCUGCGCAUGAGCAAAGAGCCAUUUAGUGCUUCUGCGCAUGCGUGACCCCGGAAACCCGGAGGUAACCUGUUCCGGUACUUCCGGGUUUCAGUGGGCCCGUUGCCCGAAAAAAAACGCAGCCUGAAGCGUCUGUAACUCGAGGUGUGACUGUACUGUUCGUUCGCUUUGCUGAGUUAAUGAAACUAAAUAGUUUCGAUUGGAUUUGGCGUAAGUGUGGAAUUACCGUAUUUUUUGCUCUAUAAGACUCACUUUUUCCCUCCUAAAAAGUAAGGGGAAAUGUGUGUGCAUCUUAUGGAGCGAAUGCAGGCUGCGCAGCUAUCCCAGAAGCCAGAACAGCAAGAGGGAUCGCUGCUUUCACUGUGCAGCGAUCCCUCUUGCUGUUCUGGCUUCUGAGAUUCAGAAUAUUUUUUUCCUUGUUUUCCUCCUCCAAAAACUAGGUGCGUCUUGUGGUCUGGUGCGUCUUAUAGAGCGAAAAUUACGGUAAUCGCGACCGUUUUGAAUUUUAUUCUGUUGUUACGCUCCUGCAAAUCGCUUAUUCGAAUGCUUUUUUUAUAGGGCAGGCACUGGAGAUGAGCUUAUUAUGGGAUGAAAGGGGCGGCCUCCUGGAAAAAGUUUGGUCUAGACAGACCCUGGGUCUCAUCCGGGCACAGAGACCCCCAACUUUCUUUCGGAGAAAUGGCAAGAGCUGUUAAGACAGGGGAACGGCCUCGGAACAGACUCUUCUUCCUUGUAGGGUAUUUUAAUCAAAGUUGCGUGGAAAGUUUUUGACGUUUUAUAGUGUUUUUAAUAUUUUGUUUCGAGCCGUCCGCAGGGGCUGGGGCAACCCAGCCAGAUGGGGCAUCGUGCAAAUUAUAAAAUUAUUAUUACUAUUACUAUUAUUAUUAUUAGCUGCGAUCCCUGCCUUGCAGGGGCUGGAAUAGAGGACCUUUGAGGUCCCCUUUCCAACUGUACAAUACUAUGAUUUGUUGAGGCCCAGCCAGUGCAAAUAGGACUUAAGGGGAAACAGCUAACAGCCUCUUAUGUCUUGGGGUUCGUUUGUAUUUUUUAAAGACACGCUGGACUCUGACUUGGUGAGACUCCCAGCACAAAGGUUCCUUAACCGCCUCUGCGAAAUCAAUCGCUUUGAAAUGUGUGACGACCUCCCCCCCCAAAAAAAUGGACUGCUGGCAAUCAAAGGAGUCCCAGCAUAGCUCUGUACAUGCUACAAGCGCCCAAAGCGAGCUCCGCCGGCAGACCGCGAGACGUCGAAUCUCAGGGUUGUGGAUUCGAGUCCUGCGCUACGGGGGGCUGGGCUGGAUGACCUCGUGGGGUCCCUUUUGACUCAAUGAUCCCAGGAGUUAAGAGGGGGCCGUGUGGCCCGCGAGCGGUUCGAGAGCGGUCCCGAUUCACCCCCUUGUCGACGCCACGGUUGCCUCCGCUUAAACAGGCGAGGCGGGUUGUGGGAACGGCACAAAGCCGCCAAACCUUUUGAGUCGAAGAGGUGGGGUUGGGCGCGCGUGACCCUCUCUGGCCCUCUCCUUCCACCCAGGGGCAUUUAUGGGGUGCGGCAACCCUCUAUAGGGACAAAGGAGCGUGUGCGUUUGCUCACGGGGAGAAGAGGCACCCAUGCCAAUUCGAACCCGUGCGCACGAAACGCGCCCCAUCUUUUUGCACAAGCCCAGAACACCGAACCCCCUCAAAGCCAUCUCGGCCACCCGGCAGCCUCUUUCAGAAACUUCGGGAUCAACACAAAAAGGAAAGAAUUAAAAAACAACAACCGAAAACCCUCGCUUCACUUCCUCCAUUGCAAUUUGCCCUCGCGCGACCCCGUCCGUAAUGC